rnacentral:misc_RNA from 1 species
CAAUAUGAAAGCGGGCUGGCAUCCUUCGGGGUUACAGCCUUGCUGAAUUAUUCACCCGUGUCUUUUGCGUACUUCUUGUUUCCUUGGUGGGUUCGCCCACCAUAGGACAAACCAUAAACCUUUUGUAAUUGCAAUCAGCGUCAGUAAAAUUUAAUCGUUACAACUUUCAACAACGGAUCUCUUGGUUCU